AAAUUGAAGAGUUUGAUCAUGGCUCAGAUUGAACGCUGGCGGCAGGCCUAACACAUGCAAGUCGAACGGUAACAGGAAGAAGCUUGCUUCUUUGCUGACGAGUGGCGGACGGGUGAGUAAUGUCUGGGAAACUGCCUGAUGGAGGGGGAUAACUACUGGAAACGGUAGCUAAUACCGCAUAACGUCGCAAGACCAAAGAGGGGGGACCUUCGGGCCUCUUGCCAUCGGAUGUGCCCAGAUGGGAUUAGCUAGUAGG
rnacentral:rRNA from 1 species